ACGCGUUCCCCUUUGGAGGUUUUGAACCUUCAUACUUGGCCGGGCUUAAACAGUCCGGCCUUUUUCUAUGGUUAC
rnacentral:sRNA from 1 species